AUCCAGCUGACGAGUCCUAAAUAGGAUGAAAUGAGCAUCCUGAAU
rnacentral:hammerhead_ribozyme from 1 species